UUUUCCGCAAUGGGCGAAAGCCUGACGGAGCAAUGCCGCGUGGAGGUGGGAGGCCUACGGGUCGUCAACUUCUUUUCUCGUAGAAGAAACAAUGACGGUAUCUGAGUAAUAAGCAUCGGCUGACUCUGUUCCAGCAGCCGCGGUAAGACAGAGGAUGCAAGCGUUAUCCUGAAUGAUUGGGCGUAAAGCGUCUGUAGGUGGCUUUUCAAGUCCGCCGUCAAAUCCCAGGGCUCAACCCUGGACAGGCGGUGGAGACUACCAAGCUGGAGUACGGUAGGGGCAGAGGGAAUUUCCGGUGGAGCGGUGAAAUGCGUAGAGAUCGGAAAGAACACCAACGGCGAAAGCACUCUGCUGGGCCGACACUGACACUGAGAGACGAAAGCUAGGGGAGCGAAUGG
rnacentral:rRNA from 1 species